CCUACGGGUGGCAUCAGUGAGGAAUAUUGGUCAAUGGACGAGAGUCUGAACCAGCCAAGUAGCGUGAAGGAUGACUGCCCUAUGGGUUGUAAACUUCUUUUAUAUGGGAAUAAAAUGUUCCACGUGUGGGAUUUUGUAUGUACCAUAUGAAUAAGGAUCGGCUAACUCCGUGCCAGCAGCCGCGGUAAUACGGAGGAUCCGAGCGUUAUCCGGAUUUAUUGGGUUUAAAGGGAGCGUAGGCGGCCUUUUAAGUCAGCGGUGAAAGUCUGUGGCUCAACCAUAGAAUUGCCGUUGAAACUGCAUCCCUUGAGUGCGCGAGAAGUAUGCGGAAUGCGUGGUGUAGCGGUGAAAUGCAUAGAUAUCACGCAGAACUCCGAUUGCGAAGGCAGCAUACCGGCGCGCAACUGACGCUCAUGCACGAAAGCGUGGGUAUCGAACAGGAUUAGAUACCCCAGUAGUC
rnacentral:rRNA from 1 species